rnacentral:piRNA from 1 species
UGUAAAAAUCCAAGUUGUAUCUAGAAGAA